rnacentral:rRNA from 1 species
GAUGAACGCUGGCGGCGUGCUUAACACAUGCAAGUCGAACGGAAAGGCCAGUGCUUGCCCUGGUACUCGAGUGGCGAACGGGUGAGUAACGCGUGGGUGAUCUGCCCUGCACUUCGGGAUAAGCCUGGGAAACUGGGUCUAAUACCGGAUAGGACACUGGCUUGGAUGCCGUUGUGGCAAGUUUUGUCGGGGGGGGGUGGGCUCGCGGCCUAUCAGCUUGUUGGUGGGGUAAUGGCCUACCGGGGCGUCGCCGGGGAGCCGGCCGGGGGGGGUGGACGGCGGCGGUGGGGGUGGGAGGGGGGCCAGGCCGGACGGGGGGCAGGAGGGGGGAAUAGUGCACAAUGGGGGCAAGCGUGAGGCAGCGAGGCCGCGGGGGGGAUGACGGGCUUCGGGUUGUAAACUCCUUUCGCUAGGGACGAAGCGGAUUUGUGACGGUACCUGGAGAAGAAGCACCGGCUAACUACGUG